AGGAUAAACGCUGGCGGCGUGCCUAACACAUGCAAGUCGAACGCGCUUUCGGGCUUCGGUGCGAGAGCGAGUGGCGGACGGGUGAGUAACACAUGGGUACCUGCCUUUCAGUGAGGGAUACCGGCGAGAAAUCGCCGACAAUACCGCAUAGGCUUCUCGGUCGCAAGAGCGGGAAGCAAAGUGGCGCAAGCCACGCUGGAAGAUGGGCCUGUGGCCGAUUAGCUAGUUGGGGGGUAACGGCCUCCCAAGGCGACGAUCGGUAGCUGGUCUGAGAGGACGAUCAGCCACACUGGGAUUGAGAACGGCCCAGACUCCUACGGGGGGCAGCAGUGAGGAAUUUCCGCAAUGGACGAAAGUCUGACGGAGCAACGCCGCGUGCAGGAGGAGGUUUUCGGAUCGUAAACUGCUUUUUCUCGGGGACGAGCAAGGACGGUACCCGAGGAAGAAGCCCGGCUAACUACGCGCCAGCAGCCGCGGUAA
rnacentral:rRNA from 1 species